rnacentral:misc_RNA from 1 species
GUGGAUUUGGGGUAUAGCAUAUAGAUCAUUAAUCUAUGGUCAUCUUAUGAUUAGGAACGGUGGUUGUUAAUGGUUGGACGGAGGCAGCAGCUAGGCCCAUCAGCUAGCUCGUCCUCAUUCAAUACCCCAACCGGAAGUCUCUCAGUUUUACCACAUCUGGACCAGAGCGUCUGCAGCCUCUCCUUCUCUCUCCAAAAUGUUCUUAUCUUUCACAGUAAAGGGCAGGCUACACCUACACCUUCUUCCUAUCCUAUGAUGAUUCCAUUCCCACGUUACCACAUCCUGAAAGUGAAAACAGAACCUAAGUCCCUCUCAACCGCAUGAAACAAACAUCAAAUUGAACACAGAAUAAUAACAUUCUCUUCCUUCCAUUUUAACGCUAAUCUCUUUCCAACACAAUGAGCCAGUGUGUUCCCAGCUGGGAUCUCGACGACAAUCCCUCUCCUGCCAAGCAAUCCCUUCGUUCCCACUCCAAUUCAACCGCAAUUGAUGUCCCUAUGUUAGACUACGAAGUAGCAGAGUUAACAUGGGAGAAUGGCCGAUUAGCCAUGCACGGACUAGGUCCACCGCGAGUGCCUGCCAAACCCAUGGCCUCCACCUCUCCCUCCAAGUACAACUGGGACAAGCCACGCGCCAAUGGAACCCUCGAAUCCAUAGUCAAUCAAGCUACUCUCUUGCCCCAACGUAAGCCUGGGUUGGAGAACAGUGGAUGUAGAUCAGAAGAGCUUGUCCCAUGGUUAGAGCACAACCGCGCAGCACCAGCCGCCUCCGCUACUGUGACUAUGGACGCCAUGGUUCCUUGUUCGAACCGGCCUGAUGACCGUAGCGCGCAAGUGAUGGACUCCGUCCCCGGGUUAGGUAACUGCGUGGUGGCUAGUUCCACUCGCGUGCGGUCGUGCAGCGGCCGAGCUGCCACGCAAGACGAGGACGCUCUCCUCAACGCGAAACGCCAGACGGUGGCCCGUGUCCCUGUGGCGCCCGAGUGGAGCAGCAGGCAAAGCGUUAGUGGUAGCGCAACUUUUCGGGGAGAUAGCAAGCAGGUGACGCUGGACACGUGCGAGAGGGACCUGGGUGUGGGUUUUACUUCCACUUUUGGGUCGCAGGAAAACACCAGCUGCGGCGAGCCCGGAACCAAGACGACCGCCGCAGAUGAGAAUGACUCCGUUUGUCACAGUGGACCACAGGCAAAUUAUUCUUAGUAUUAUUUUUUUAAUUCUCUUAUAUUUAAUAAUCUAAUUGGGUAAUAAAGUUGUAUAUUUAUUUUAUGGUUUUCUGGUUAAAAAGAUGGAUGAAGGCGAUGAUGAGGAGGACAAGAAGAAAGGAAACGGGAAAUCCUCGGUUUCAACCAAAAGAAGUAGGGCUGCUGCUGUUCAUAACCAAUCUGAACGUGUAUGCUCUCUUUCUCUCUCUGAGAGUUUGUUGUCUUCACAAUAGUUUAUUAUAUGAUUAGUCUGUAAAAGAAAUGAAAUUUUUAAAUUUGAUUAAGCUAAAAGCUUAAUGAACUGAUUCUUUCAUCAUAGUCAACGUUGGUAGUAAUUGUUCUGAACUGACACGGUCAUAAAAAGUACCUUGCUAGAAGGCUGCUCGACUUUAAAUAUAGUUUAAAGCAGUCAGGUAGGGCUACUGCCAUUCAAAACCAAUAUGGAGGCGCAUGUUUCUUCUCUAUAAUAUUGCUAAUAAUAAAUUAUUAAUGAAUAUAUUGAUGGAAUUAUAUAGUUUAGAAUUGAUAACCCAAAUGAUUCUAUUAUAAAUAUUGUUUAAGUGUAUCAUUUGUUCUUGGGGAUUUUUUUUAUUAAUUCGUUUGUAACGUUUGAAAAUUAUAAGUAAACGACAUUGAAUACUCGGCAUUUGAUACUACGCAUUCAUUUUCAUUGAUUUUCUUCUCAUCAUCAUUGCUUGUACUGUGUCCUUUUCUGUUCACUAACUUAUCCCCGAUUUUAUUUAUUGCUAGAAAAGGAGAGAGAAGAUAAACCAAAGGAUGAAGACACUGCAGAAGCUGGUCCCAAAUUCCAGUAAGUAAAUAGCAUUAAAGUGGAAGGCUCGCGGAAUCCCAGCAAAUAGGCAUCAAUGGAGUCACUAGCGAGAGUGGAUGAGCGUCGGCAUCAUCCAGACUUUAUGUUUUAUAAUUAUUCCCAUUUGUGGGGACAAAUUGUCAGCAAGCUAAGUCAAGUCUUUUGGACUAGCAAAAGAUCGUUUUACUGUUUUAUCCUGACAUAAUAUUAAAUCAUUUUAGGUGACAUUUGAUAAAAAGAGAUGUCACCUUUACCUGUAAAAAAAUUGUUAGUACACCUAUGGAAUUGCUCUUCUUGUAAAUACCCAAAUUGGACACCAGACAAAACAAGGCAAAAUUGUGGUCCAAAUUAUUUUGCACUGAUUGAAUGGGAAAUGGCUGUGCGUAUCUUGAGACUGGUCCAGUUGAUUAUAAUCCACAUGCCCAAUUGGCUAUGGGGACAAGACAACUUGACAGAAGGUUGUUUGGUGUGGAGACAAUCACCUGGUACCACAUAAACUCAUCUCCACUGUAGGCCCUGAUGCCUCUGUGUUUCUAGUUUCAAUUUACUAGUUGCCACUGGCCGGUGAAAUUAGGACUCUGGAGAUAGAUGGAUAGAUAGACCUAGCGUUGGCUGGGGCUUUUGGUCUUGGUCAGAUUGAAGCACAUAUAUAAAACAAUUCAGGAUACUUAAUCAUGUGAAGUAUACUGUAAACAGACAAGAGGGUCGAUGUUUAAUUAGUUUGUUAAUGAGAAAGCAGAACAUAGAAAAAUGUAAAUGCCUUUUCCUCGUUUGUUUUAGACGGACAAAGCCUCGAUGCUGGAUGAAGUAAUCGAAUAUCUGAAACAAUUGCAAGCUCAAGUCCAAAUGAUGAGUAGAAUGAACAUGCAGCCAAUGAUGUUGCCGAUGGCAAUGCAACAGCAACUCCAGAUGUCAAUGUUGGCUCCAAUGAAUAUGGGCUUGGGUGUAGGAAUGGGAAUGGGCGUCAUGGACAUGAACUCAAUUGCUCGUCUCAAUAUUCCUGGUAUCUCUCCAGUGCUUCAUCCUUCUGCUUUCAUGCCCAUGGCUUCGUGGGAUGGCUCCGGUGCCCGCUUACAAUCUGCCUCCACCGCAGUUAUGCCUGAUCCAUUAUCCGCAUUCCUUGCAUGCCAAUCACAGGUACAGAUAGCUGGCAACCCAAUAUAUAGAGAGUUCAUUAUCUAUGAUUUGGAAUUGUACGUUGGAUAAUGAGCUAUAUAUAUAAAUUUGUUGCAGCCUAUGACUAUGGAUGCAUACAGUAGGAUGGCUGCCAUAUACCAGCAGCUGCAACAGCAACCUCCUGCUUCUAGCUCCAAAAGCUAAGCUAAGCUAUAUAUGAUCUGCGUACUCAUGGGUUCACUUUAAAACAAAAGCUAAAGCUUAAAAAAAUGAAAUAUAGCUCUCAUGCGUCGGGAAAGCUUGUGCUCCAGUGCUCUCAGGCGUGGAUAUGAAUAUAAAUAUGUUUAGCUACAAGCAUCUGUGGCUGUGUGUUUGAGGCAUAUAUCUGUUUAGAUAUGUAUGCUCCAUUUUGGGUAACAAUCAGUACAACCUGUGUAGUGUGCGUAUGAUAAUUUUUAUUUUUCCAAGUUUUCAUUCAUUAAUAUGCGGCCUAGUUAGCUAUAGUACGUUUGCACCACCCUUUUUUUAACUUUUUUAAUUUCCCCCCUACCCUCACAAUGUUUAUAUCUGGAUUUUUUAAAACUUGUUCAUAUGGUUCUAUUGGUUUUCUUUAUAAUUGAGUCUUUAUGUACAUAAUUAAUAAGUAAUUAACUUUGAG